UCCGCCCAGAAAGCUGUCGGGGGCGGGGCCCAGGCCCCUGCAGUUGGGGCGGGGGGCGAAGGAGAGGAAGCGGGUCUGGGAAGCCGAGUGGAGGCAGAGCCUCCCACAGGGAAGCCGCCCAGGGGCGGGGCCGAGGGCCAGACUGCCAACCAGGGGAGGGUCGCGCACAGACAACGAGGGGUUCGCGCGGGAGAGGGCGGAGCUUCGGAGAGCGAGCCGCGGAUUCAAAACACCGGCUGGGGGCCGGGCGGAGGACGAGAAGCUUGACCGAGACUGAGCCCAGGAGGGGAGACCGGGUAGUGGCGGCCACCCGGGGCGAGUCUAGGCAGACGGGGCGGGAGAAGGCGGAGCCUGGGAUGGCGCCUGGGGCACCCACCGAGCCCGUCGAGUAUUUCCCCUCAAUUACUCAACGAACUCAUUGUAAUUCAGCUGGCCGUUGCCUCACUCACGAACCUCAGGCAGGCCUGUUUGCACGUCUCAGUUUCUCCACCGGAGUGGGGUAAUCUCCACGGUUCCGAAUGCGAAUGGAAUUCUUGAAAAAAGGCUGAUCUUCAAAAAGAGUCCAUUAACGCAGGCGUGCUUUGAUUAACAGAUGAGAGCUACUGCAACUUUACACAAAACUGUGUGGCCAGUGUGCCCGGGAACAGUGGGACCUUUCAUCUCCUCCAUUCGCUCCCUGCACCCCCAGUCCCCAGCACUGCCAGUGAGUCACCCACAAAGCCAGCCAGCAGCGCCGCCAAGCAGAGCGAUACUAACAAUAAACUGUAGCGCCGUGACUUGCCUAAGGUCAUGCCGCGGAGGAUAAAGCAGGAGAACGUGUGUUGCUGUAGAGGAGCUGAAAUACCGGCACAAACAAGUUGUUCUUUAUUUGGACGGGGGCGGGCAGAGGGUAAGGUAAACCUGUUUGAGAGAAAACCACACGGGGUUCCCACUCGGAGGACCCAAGACCACCCCCCGCCGCAAGGACCUAUGGAUAGAAUCACAUUUCAAUGUAAGUUGCUUCCUUUGAA